GCCGAGUCAAGCCUGCUGUUUGUUUCUUUAAUGAGGUCAAGCUUGCAAUUUGAGUGAUAUUCCAAUGAAGAUUAUACGAUGCACUGUUUGCCUUGCGGAAUACCAUGGUGAUGAUGUAUUGGGAUCCUCCCCUACUGUGAGCACUCCUUCCAUGUAACCUGAAUAGAGAUAUGGCUUCAGCAGCAUUCCACAUGUCCUGUUUGUAGAAUAUCAUUGCGCGAGUUUCCUGAGAUAAAACGCCUCAUGCAACCCUUGUCCUGUUCGGCUAUUCGAUCUCAUUAUGGUACAGAGUCCUUCAGUACCCUUUCUUAUCGCUAUCUCUUGAAUAGUCGUGCAUCAAGAACUCAUGAAAAUCAUGGUAUGGACCCCAUUCAAGAAGAUCAUGCAGCAUCAGGGUGAUGUAACAGAUGCCAGGGAGAAUAGCUCCCCCUUAACUGAGAGUAAUCAGAUUUCUAAGACUAGGGAAAUAAGCAUUUAGAAAGCCCAUCAAAUCCGUACACAUUGGUGCCUUCGAAUUCAAGAUACAUCUGCUAAUAUGAGCUGGUUUGGUA